GGUCUUGUAGCACAGUGGUUAGUGCUUUGUACUUAUGGGAAAACAUCUAUGCAAGGGUCGCGAGUUCAAAUCUCGCCAAGACCA